GAUCCUGGCUCAGGACGAACGCUGGCGGCGCGCCUAACACAUGCAAGUCGAACGAGCGAGAGGGAGCUUACUUUCUCGGGCGAGUGGCGAACGGGUGAGUAACGCGUGAGGAACCUGCCUCAAAGAGGGGGACAACAGUUGGAAACGACUGCUAAUACCGCAUAAGCCCACAGGUCGGCAUCGACCAGAGGGAAAAGGAGCAAUCCGCUUUGAGAUGGCCUCGCGUCCGAUUAGCUAGUUGGUG
rnacentral:rRNA from 1 species